UUCAGCUGGUCCCCCUGCAAUUGCUCGUGAAAAUCUUUUGCUUCCUACCAAAGAUUUCCGUGCAGGGGGACUCCCAUGAUAACGUAUGUGUUUUUGUACAGCCCCCAGUGGGCUA
rfam:Gongylonema pulchrum genome assembly, scaffold: GPTH_scaffold0003927